rnacentral:rRNA from 1 species
UACGUAGGGUGCAAGCGUUGUCCGGAAUUAUUGGGCGUAAAGAGCUCGUAGGUGGUUUGUCGCGUUGUUCGUGAAAACUCACAGCUUAACUGUGGGCGUGCGGGCGAUACGGGCAGACUGGAGUACUGCAGGGGAGACUGGAAUUCCUGGUGUAGCGGUGGAAUGCGCAGAUAUCAGGAGGAACACCGGUGGCGAAGGCGGGAUCCUGGGCCAGUACUGACGCUGAGGAGCGAAAGCGUGGGGAGCAAACAGG